rnacentral:tRNA from 1 species
UGUUUGAAAGCGAAAUAUUGCACUAAGUUUCGGCCUUAGCCAUGGAAUUCAUAUUCCUCAAA